UGGUUUCUUCGUCUUUUCCUUAUUCUUUUUAUAUGUUUUCCCACUAACCAUGAAACAGUGUGUAAACUAUAAAAACGAGUCAAAGUGGAUUGGCCCACACUAGCACUUCCACGUAAUAACUCUACCAAAGGCGAUCCUAUUACAGGAAUAGCUUCAGGUACACCUGUCACGAUUUUGACUGCCCAAUAACCAAUUUGAAUCAAACCGGCUCAACGGGUUCAAAGGGCUUGUCCUUCCGGCCCGCAACAAACACUCGCUCGGAAAAGGGCUGGCUAGUUCUGUCAUCCGAGCUCGAAAGCGUUUGUGUGGAUUUGAAAGCGCAAAUGAAUCCGUUCAUAAACUCUGUUUUUUCGACUUCUUCUACCACUCCGAAAUCCGAUUCGGAUCGGGAGUAAGCACUAGUGAUAGGGCAAAGGGGGGAAGGACAUAGGAAAGAGGGAUGCCUACAUUCAAUCAAUUGAUUCGUCAUGGUAGUUGUAGUGCCUUCCAUUCCUCGAGAAAGAAUCUCUUCCGGGUUUCAUUAGAUUAAAAAACGAUGCUUCCUUGGCCGCCAGCUGGAUACAUCCUACGCAAGGAAGUCAAUAUUGCACACUUGACCGAGUGAAGCAAGUGGUUAUCGUUUGCCUCUCCUCUAAAAUUAUCCCCACAAGGUGUUUUAAGAUAGCGUUUGAUUGUGGUGUAAAAGCAUACCUUGUACAGGGAUAAAUCAAUGCCAUGAAAUAGAGAUAUUUUGAUAUUUAGUUGGAG
rnacentral:lncRNA from 1 species